ensembl:lncRNA
CUUGGUGACCAAUGAUCAACUUAGAGAUGUGAAAUGAGAGAUGCAAAUGUGAAGUGUUUGUAAGUGGUCUGGAUGAAAGACUUGUGGGUUUCCUGUUUUGAAAUGCUUAGAUGUUGAAUUGAAACCAUUACAAUAAAACAAAGAACCUUGUGAAUUUUGUAUGGAAACUUUGAUUCAGAAACUUUGACCCUCAUGACAGGCAUAAAUUGACUGAAAGAAUAUGAAAUGUAAAGUGCAAAAUGUCUCAUAUAAGGAUGCUUAUCGCUAUGUCUGAACUAAAGAUAUAGUUAAAAAUAUCAAUCAGAUAAACUUAAGUUAUCUUGAACAUUUCCAUUUUUAUGAACCUAUCAAGUGCCUGAUCACAAAGCCAAAUAAGAGCAAAAAAGUCUAAAAGGUAACUGGUGACUGGUUGAAAAUGCUAUAAAUUUUCGUACUUUCAAACAACAGCUCAAUUUAGUGCCAACCCUUUAUGACGCAGGCUGUUUUAGGUAAAACUUUCCAUUGACGUGAACCAAUCAGAUGAGGGUUGGCGUCUGCAUUAAGACCCUAACCAGUGUCGCUUAUUCACAACAUUGACUGAGAUGGAGAGGCCAAGACUUGCUCUUAUCGCACUCAUGUUUUUACUGUUUCAUCAGAAAUUAAUCUUUGGAGAAGAAGUGGAGAUGAAAGUUAGACCAGGAGACAACAUCACUCUCUACUGUGAUCGCUCUGUAACUCUUGGUUCUGUUGUUGUAUGGAUAAGAAACUGCUCUCAUGAAAAUCAUCCUUCUCUCAUUAUAGAUUAUAAGAAACUGGACCUGAAAAUAUUUCAGCGAUUCAGCUUUAUCCACAACCCCUAUAAUAAUUCUCAUGAUCUACAUAUCACUAACAUCAGUGUCUCUGAUCUGGGACUUUACUACUGUGCAAAAGUAGAGAAAAAGGUAAAUCAAAAUGAAAAAGGCAUCCUCUCCGGAUCUGAGGUGUACUAUUAUGGAAACCAAACAACUCGUCUUUCUCUGGAAUUGACUUCCUGUUCUGAACCCUCUGCACCUCCUGACUGUCUGCUUUGCUGGACGCUGCUGUUCAGUGUGUGUCCGGUGUGUCUUCUCCUCUCCUCCAUAUGUGUGGUCUGCUUCUGUUGUAAGAAAACGACAGAUGCUGCGACAGAUCAGACAGAUAAGUUAAAAGGUAGAAAUACAGCUGAGUGCUUGGAUGAAGAGGUGUGUUAUGCAUCUUUAGAUGUGAUUACCAAGAGACAGCAACAACGCAAGACAAAGCGAGUGCAGAGUUCUGACUUCAGUACUUACGCUCAGAUUCACUUUCAGUAACAAAGAACCAGUAGAAAUUCAGCACAUUGGACAGCUCCCAGUGCUGAAAGGAUUGAAUAACAGACAUCUGCUGAAUAUUUUCUUACGUAUAUGAGGCCAUCCCUCCAUAAUGUUGAGAAAGUAUUAAGAAAAUCCACAUCGGCAUUAGCACCUUACAGACAUAGCUAAAGAGCAUAUUCAGCUUGUAUCUGACAACAAUAAAUCACAUACUGCUGUGUUUGGCCUCUGGAGG